UACGUAGGGUGCGAGCGUUAAUCGGAAUUACUGGGCGUAAAGCGUGCGCAGGCGGUUUUAUUAGACAGAUGUGAAAUCCCCGGGCUCAACCUAGGACCUGCAUUUGAGACUGUAAAGCUAGAGUACGGGAGGGGGGGGUGGAAUUCCGCGUGUAGCAGUGAAAUGCGUAGAUAUGCGGAGGAACACCGAGGGCGAAGGCAAUCCCCUGGACCUGUACUGACGCUCAUGCACGAAAGCGUGGGGAGCAAACAGGAUUAGAUACCCUGGUAGUCCACGCCCUAAACGAUGUCAACUGGUUGUUGGGUCUUCACUGACUCAGUAACGAAGCUAACGCGUGAAGUUGACCGCCUGGGGAGUACGGCCGCAAGGUUG
rnacentral:rRNA from 1 species